GACCAGGGGAGUGGACCUCCUUAAGUGAAUUUACAGCUCACCGCCUAAAUCAGCCACCU
rnacentral:tRNA from 1 species